UACGUAGGGUGCGAGCGUUAAUCGGAAUUACUGGGCGUAAAGCGUGCGCAGGCGGCGCGUUAAGACAGGUGUGAAAGCCCCGGGCUUAACUUGGGAAUUGCGCUUGUGACUGGCGGGCUGGAGUGUGGCAGAGGGAGGUGGAAUUCCACGUGUAGCAGUGAAAUGCGUAGAGAUGUGGAGGAACACCGAUGGCGAAGGCAGCCUCCUGGGCCAGCACUGACGCUCAUGCACGAAAGCGUGGGGAGCAAACAGG
rnacentral:rRNA from 1 species